ACGAACGCUGGCGGCGUGCCUAAUACAUGCAAGUCGAGCGGAAUGAUGAAGAAGCUUGCUUCUUCUGAUUUUAGCGGCGGACGGGUGAGUGACACGUGGGCAACCUACCUUGUAGAUUGGGAUAACUCCGGGAAACCGGGGGCUAAAUACCGAAUAAUCCAUUUUGCUUCAUGGCGAGAUGUUGAAAGACGGUUUCGGCUGUCACUACAAGAUGGGCCCGCGGCGCAUUAGCUAGUUGGUAGGGUAAUGGCCUACCAAGGCGACGAUGCGUAGCCGACCUGAGAGGGUGAUCGGCCACACUGGGACUGAGACACGGCCCAGACUCCUACGGGAGGCAGCAGUAGGGAAUCUUCCACAAUGGACGAAAGUCUGAUGGAGCAACGCCGCGUGAGUGAAGAAGGUUUUCGGAUCGUAAAACUCUGUUGUAAGGGAGGAACACGUACGAGAGUAACCUGCUCGUACCUUGACGGUACCUUAUUAGAAAGCCACGGCUAACUACGUG
rnacentral:rRNA from 1 species